rnacentral:rRNA from 1 species
GAUGAACGCUAGCUACAGGCUUAACACAUGCAAGUCGUGGGGCAUCAUGAUGUAGUAAUACAUUGAUGGCGACCGGCGCACGGGUGAGUAACGCGUAUCCAACCUACCCUCCACUCAAGUAUAGGCUUCCGAAAGGGGGAUUAAUCCUUGAUAUCGUCAUUCUCUCUCCUGUUAGAAUGAUAAAAGGACAUCGUUUCGGUAGAGGAUGGGGAUGCGUUCCAUUAGGUAGUAGGUGGUUUAACAGGCCACCUAGCCGAUGAUGGAUAGGGGUUCUGAGAGGAAUGUCCCCCACACUGGUACUGAGAUACGGACCAGACUCCUACGGGAGGCAGCAGUGAGGAAUAUUGGUCAAUGGGCGCAAGCCUGGACCAGCCAUGUAGCGUGAAGGAUGACGGUUUUUUUGAUUGUAAAACUUUCUUUUUCUGUGCGAAUAAAAGUGUG